rnacentral:misc_RNA from 1 species
GAUGAAGAACGCAGCGAAAUGCGAUAAGUAAUGUGAAUUGCAGAAUUCAGUGAAUCAUCGAAUCUUUGAACGCACAUUGCGCCCUUUGGUAUUCCGAAGGGCAUGCCUGUUCGAGCGUCAUUACAACCCUCAAGCUCUGCUUGGUAUUGGGCACCGUCCUUUGCGGGCGCGCCUCAAAGACCUCGGCGGUGGCGUCUUGCCUCAAGCGUAGUAGAACAUACAUCUCGCUUCGGAGCGCAGGGCGUCGCCCGCCGGACGAACCUUCUGAACUUUUCUCAAGGUUGACCUCGGAUCAGGUAGGGAUACCCGCUGAACUUAAGCAUAUCAAUAAGCGGAGG